rnacentral:rRNA from 1 species
GGGCCGCACGCGCGCUACACUGACGGAGCCAGCAAGUACAACCUUGGUCGAGAGGCCCGGGUAAUCUCGUGAAACUCCGUCGUGCUGGGGAUAGAGCAUUGUAAUUUUUGCUCUUCAACGAGGAAUUCCUAGUAAGCGCAAGUCAUCAACUUGCGUUGAUUACGUCCC